GACGGGGGGGGCGAAGUGUUCUUUCGGAAAUGACGUGGGCGUAAAAGGGCGCGUAGGAGCGGUUCGUACAGUCGAGACGUGAAAUUCCUGGGCUCAACCUGGGGGCUGCGUUUGAUACGUGCGGACUUGAGUUCGGGAAGAGGGUCGUGGGAAUUCCCAAGUUCGUAGAGGUGGAAAUUCGAUUAGAUAUUGGGGAAGGA
rnacentral:rRNA from 1 species